rnacentral:rRNA from 1 species
GAUCAUGGCUCAGGAUGAACGCUAGCUACAGGCUUAACACAUGCAAGUCGAGGGGCAGCAUGGUCUUAGCUUGCUAAGGCCGAUGGCGACCGGCGCACGGGUGAGUAACGCGUAUCCAACCUGCCUUACACUCUUGGACAGCCCUCUGAAAGGGAGAUUAAUACAAGAUGUUAUCAUGAGUAGCUAUUUCGCAUGUAAGUUUUAAAACGGGUUUUACCGGUAGUAAGAGGUGGGGAUGUCCGUU